GAUGAAGAACGUAGCGAAAUGCGAUAAGUAGUGUGAAUUGCAGAAUUCAGUGAAUCAUCGAAUCUUUGAACGCACAUUGCGCCCCUUGGCAUUCCGAGGGGCAUGCCUGUUCGAGCGUCAUUUCACCACUCAAGCCUGGCUUGGUGUUGGGCGACGUCCUCUUUGGGGACGCGCCUCGAAACGCUCGGCGGCGUGGCACCGGCUUUAAGCGUAGCAGAAUCUUUCGCUUUGGAAGUCGGGGCCCCGUCUGCCGGAAGACCUGCUCGCAAGGUUGACCUCGGAUCAGGCAGGGAUACCCGCUGAACUUAAGCAUAUCAAUAAGCGGAGGA
rnacentral:misc_RNA from 1 species